UCAGGCCUAACACAUGCAAGUCGAGGGGUAACGUGAGUGCUUGCACUUGACGACGACCGGCGCACGGGUGCGUAACGCGUAUGCAAUCUGCCUUACACUGGGGGAUAGCCUUUAGAAAUGAAGAUUAAUACCCCAUAGUAUGUAUAAGUGGCAUCAUUUAUACAUUAAAGGUUACGGUGUAAGAUGAGCAUGCGUCCUAUUAGCUAGAUGGUGUGGUAACGGCACACCAUGGCUACGAUAGGUGGGGGCCCUGAGAGGGGGAUCCCCCACACUGGUACUGAGACACGGACCAGACUCCUACGGGAGGCAGCAGUGAGGAAUAUUGGACAAUGGGCGAGAGCCUGAUCCAGCCAUGCCGCGUGCAGGAAGACUGCCCUAUGGGUUGUAAACUGCUUUUAUACAGGAAGAAACACUCUCACGCGUGGGAGCUUGACGGUACUGUAAGAAUAAGGAUCGGCUAACUCCGUGCCAGCAGCCGCGGUAAUACGGAGGAUCCAAGCGUUAUCCGGAAUCAUUGGGUUUAAAGGGUCCGUAGGCGGGCAGCUAAGUCAGUGGUGAAAGUUUGCGGCUCAACCGUAAAAUUGCCAUUGAUACUGGUUGUCUUGAAUUAGUGUGAAGUGGUUAGAAUGUGUAGUGUAGCGGUGAAAUGCAUAGAUAUUACACAGAAUACCAAUUGCGAAGGCAGAUCACUAACACUAUA
rnacentral:rRNA from 1 species